rnacentral:misc_RNA from 1 species
GAUGAAGAACGUAGCGAAAUGCGAUAAGUAAUGUGAAUUGCAGAAUUCAGUGAAUCAUCGAAUCUUUGAACGCACAUUGCGCCCGCCAGUAUUCUGGCCGGCAUGCCUGUUCGAGCGUCAUUACAACCCUCAGGCCCCCGGGCCUGGCGUUGGGGAUCGGCGGAAGCCCCCUGCGGGCACAACGCCGUCCCCCAAAUACAGUGGCGGUCCCGCCGCAGCUUCCAUUGCGUAGUAGCUAACACCUCGCAACUGGAGAGCGGCGCGGCCACGCCGUAAAACACCCAACUUCUGAAUGUUGACCUCGAAUCAGGUAGGAAUACCCGCUGAACUUAAGCAUAUCAAUAAGCGGAGGA